rnacentral:rRNA from 1 species
CCCUUAGAUGUUCUGGGCCGCACGCGUGCUACACUGAGUGGAUCAGCGGGUCAGGUUGCGCGAAAGCGUUUCCUAAUCUUUAAAUCCGCUCGUGAUGGGGAUUGACGGUUGCGAUUUUCUGUCAUGAACGAGGAAUACCUUGUAAGCGCGGGUCAUCAUCCCGCGCUGAAUACGUCCCUGCCCUUUGUACACACCGCCCGUCGCUCCUACCGAUUGAGUGGUCCGGUGAGGCUUUGGGAUCUGAGCGGAAAGAGCGUUUCGCUGUUUCUGCUCGGAAAACUCAGUCGAACCUUAUCAUUUAGAGGAAGGAGAAGUCGUAACA